AGUUUGGCCAUGGGAGUGGGGACUGCGGCGCUGCCGGUGUUCCUGGCAUGCUUCUGUGGCUGCCUUUCCCAGUCUGUGUUCCAGUCCAAGAUAUCCAUCACCAGAGGCGUAGGCAAGACGGCUCGCUUUCGCUGCAACAUUAACACGGACGACUUUAGAAACACUUUAGUACAUUGGUACCGAGACGUCAGGAGCCUCGGCUUACACCGCAUCCUGUAUGUCCAAGCCAACUCAAAAGCAGUUUGGGACAAGGGUUCAACAGACAGAUUCGUUGCCGAAAAUUUGGAAAAGGAUAAGGCAAGCGUGCUGGACAUAAGGGACAUCGAGAAAGGGGACGCGGGGGUUUACUACUGUGCGAUCUGGGACAGCACGGCGAAGCGGCACCACAGGAGCCCAGAACAAAUACCCUGUGCCCAGGUGAGAGUGACUCCAGGUCGCGGCAGAUUAAAGCAGCAGAUCCGCUUCGACCCGAACAGGCUUAAUGCCGCCUGGACACAUGAUCAGCGCUGCGGCUAA